GACGAACGCUGGCGGCGUGCUUAACACAUGCAAGUCGAACGAUGAAGCGGUGCUUGCACCGUGGAUUAGUGGCGAACGGGUGAGUAAUACGUGAGUGACCUACCUUUGACUCUGGGAUAAGCCUGGGAAACUGGGUCUAAUACCGGAUACGACCAAUCUCUGCAUGGGGUGUUGGUGGAAAGCGUUAUGGAGUGGUUUUAGAUGGGCUCACGGCCUAUCAGCUUGUUGGUGAGGUAAUGGCUUACCAAGGCGACGACGGGUAGCCGGCCUGAGAGGGUGACCGGCCACACUGGGACUGAGACACGGCCCAGACUCCUACGGGAGGCAGCAGUGGGGAAUAUUGCACAAUGGGCGCAAGCCUGAUACAGCGACGCCGCGUGAGGGAUGACGGCCUUCGGGUUGUAAACCUCUGUUAGCAUCGAAGAAGCGAAAGUGACGGUAGGUGCAGAGAAAGCGCCGGCUAACUACGUG
rnacentral:rRNA from 1 species